AAAUAACAUGUGAGGCGAGAAACCUUAUAUCUUAUUUAUUUUUUUACAUUUCACAGUAAUAACAGAUUUUAAAGUAAUGACAGAACUCAGUAAACAUACCUGUUGUGUUGGUUUCCUGAUUGGAAUAUUUGACAGUUACCUAAAAUUUCUUCUGGUUAAAAUUUUACUCGCUAGAUGGCGAGAAGGAUAUUAGUUCUCUAGCUUUUGCUGGCGCGCCAGUGAGAUUCGUUUUUUAAUGUCAAGCGCGCCAUCACUUGUACUGUAACUAAUUUCAAUCUUUUCCCCAUUGCUAAAGUAUAAGUAAAUAAAGUAGUUGCCAUCAUUGCGUAUUUCAUUUCAGCAAUUGUUUAUUGUGUUUUACUUUUAACUUGUUUAAUAUGAUGCCUUUUGUUUUUCUCAAAUAUUGUUUGUUUGUCUGAUUUACUUUGUUCCACUAAGCAAUGCAUGUUUUCGCGUUGUGGUGCCUAAUACUAGUCGCCAGAUGUCUCUGCUAUCACAUACCCUUCUCGUUUAUCUCUGGUUGGGCAUUACAGUUUGUCUGCUACAUGAUCAAGGUCGAGUGGAUGUGGACGUCGUGGACGUUAAUGAAGAGUUUUGAAAGGAGAAAGUUUUUAAUUUAAAUUUUCUAUUAGACAAGAAAACAAAUCUUUCUUUUGAAAGUGCACAUCUUCGUGAAUUCUUUCAGUAUUUUUGUCAUGAAAGUAAUCAUGCAGCUUGUUUAACUGUGUUGCUGAUUUCUCCGGUUAACCACGGUAAAUGGCAAUUUUUUUUCCCCUUCUUGAAUGGUUAAACCAGUGAGAUAAUUGCCACUUAUUAACCGGUUAACCUAUGGUUACACGAACACCUCUGACCUCUGGUGGGUGUUUCGAUUUCACCGAUACGCAGAAGGCAGAACGGUUUGCACGCACGCUUUGUGGCAGUGACGAUGUGGGGAUGUGGCCGCUAUGGCAGACAUUUUGCAUAAAACUUCUACCUAAUUGCUGAAAUCCAGGGUGAAAUUUUGAUACCUUACAGGUGCUGAUAGCACUUUACACUUCUUGGUCAAUGAUAGUGAUUUGACUUAUCCUGUGGCCCGAUUGAAGCUUAAAAUGUAAAACACCUCUUUUAAUGAUCAGGUAAACUACAUUUUUAAUUCAUUAAAAAAUCUCAUAAGUUGGUUGAUACAGUGCUAUCAUGGAUCGGUACAAAUCCAUUCUUGAGAAAGAUUAGGUUACAACAAUGCUGUUGAAGACAAUUCUACCUUAGAAACUCUGAUGAACUCACUGUGUGCACAAGGUACUUUUUAGAUGAUUCAGUGUGAUGCUUUAAGAACAAUAUCAUCCAGCUGCUAUAGUGAUAUUGUCAGAUGUUGGUGAAAGAGUUAAAAACAGUCGGAGCCCCAUUUAUCAAAAUAGAGGAAUUAGUUCAUGGAAUACUGGGUGUCACUGUCAAUAGUUGGUGACUAUAUGCUGGGGUUGGCUUAAGUAGGUAUAACAUUUUUUAGUGGCCCAUCUAACCUGCAAUUUUUUUCUCUCCUCCAUAAAGGACCUCCUAUAACAACUUGAAUACGCUUACAAGUUAUAACAAAUUUACGACUCCUUAGUGUAUAGUCUGAAAGCAACUUUAAAAAAAGUGAAAAUGAUUUGGUAUUCGUCAACCCAAUGCAAAAAAGUCCAAAGCAGCGGUGUGCGAAGAAAGUAGUAUGGUGUGCGAAGUAAACAUUAAAAGUAAGAAAUGGAGGAUAGCUUGUGUCGUCAAUCAGCAUGACACGAAGUCAUAAAAUGGCAGGACAGGUGUCGGAAUAGCCGCACGAGACCAAAACAUGGAAGCAACAGCGUAGCAUUUGCUAUCAGUUUGAGUUUACAUGUCCAUCAGCUUACAGUUUUUGGUAACUAUCAGUCUACUUCACAAUUUGGUCUGUAUGUUUUAAUUUCAGUUGAUUGCAAGUUUGUGCCGAACUAAUUAUUUUUUCUACAAACAUGUUGAACUAGCCUCAAUAGCUAGCUAUUGAGUUAUUAGUAGCGUGUUCUUGGUUGUUGGCAGCGGUAAAGAAAUCGAUCAAAAUAUUUAUGAUCUUGUAUCUCCCUAACAACGGCGUAGCAAUGCUGUUGUAGGCUGUUAUCUCUUGGAUGGCUGGAACGACCCCGAGUGUACCUAUGGGCUCCUUUUCUUCCAAGUACAAUAUUACAUUUGCGCCCUACUACACCAUGAUGUACAUUGUUCCCGCAUACUACUACACCAAUGCGCCACAGUAGUACUCAACGAAAAGCACAAGUAUAACGUGACCAAAUCGAUGGAGUAUUACACAACCACGUGUGUAGCUCCAAAAUACUACACCACAAGAAUAGCGUUUACAUUAUGCUGAAGCUCUUGAGUACUAUUUGGCCCAAAUUACUAUGUUUGCCUCUCAAAGCUACACUCGCCCAGGCAUCGAGUACUAUACAACUAAACCUGAGUAUUGCAUAACGACUUGUAUUACAUUGAAAUAUUAUAGUACGAAGCUUCAAAGUACUAUUCUGUUUCAAGAUGCUACACCGUCGCUGUCCCAUCUUACUAGGUCGUGCGUAACAUAAGCGACAGCUUAUGCCUCAUCAACUUGCUAAUCUAAAGCUCUGAAAUGCCAUUCAGUCACAAGAUACAAUAUUGAGGCAAUAUUUUUUUAAAUUAUUAUAGAUUAAUCCGAAGUCUUUAAAAUAAUUACAUAAUCAAAAAGUAAUGUUAAAUCAUUAAACAUGCUAUCGUGUAUGCCGCGCCUAGCUGAAUACUGAAGCUCCGAAAUACUACACAACAUAUUCUGCUGAAUACUAUACUACCCCUCCGCGGAGUGUGGAAUACUGCAUUACCAUCAGACAACUACAACUUGAGGGCACGAGCUUCUAUCAAAUUUAUUAAGAUGUGGUUAUUUGCACAAAUUUUGAUUCCCUACGGUUAGUUGCCAUUUGGCUUUAUGACUUACCCGCACGUCUAAAGCUCAAAUAAUUGUAGAUGUCUCUCUCACCACAAAAUAUUAAUUCGUUGUGGUGAACGGAAAAACUUACUGAUCACUUCAUUCUUCAAUUGCAUGAUAUCAUGUCCUUAUUUGAAUCUAAUAUCGCUCGUAUUUUUUUUUUUUUGUGUAUCUUUUUUUGUUUCUAUCUUGGAGUUCAUACAGUUGUUAUAGGUAACAGGUGCAUUUAAUGAGAAAGUUCUCGUGGCCGCCACAUCCUUGAGAAAUCUAUAGACGUUACGAACUGUUAAAGCAAUCCACGACAAUAGCAGAUGUUUCAUUUUGCCAGCCGUCGACCGAACAUGAUUUUCCCUUUCCCGCUAUGCCACUACAGAUAAGUUUUCAAUGUGAAGAAAAUCAACGCAAAGCUCCUAAGCGGUUAGCUUUUGCCAAAAAAUCACGUUAAUAAAAUUGAAUGCCGAAUCCGAGAAAGUUAUUCAUUUUCUCCGUUUUGGAAAAUAAUAACGAAUAGUUGUGCUAUACCACGCUAUCGCUGUAGCAUGCUGGAACACAACUUUGUUAACAUGUUUUUUACGUUUAAUUUGAAAAAUUCAAGUU